UACGUAGGGGGCAAGCGUUAUCCGGAUUCACUGGGUGUAAAGGGAGCGUAGACGGCCAGACAAGUCUGAAGUGAAAAUCCAGCGCUUAACGUUGGAAGUGCUUUGGAAACUGCCGGGCUGGAGUGCAGGAGGGGCAGGCGGAAUUCCUAGUGUAGCGGUGAAAUGCGUAGAUAUUAGGAGGAACACCAGUGGCGAAGGCGGCCUGCUGGACUGCAACUGACGUUGAGGCUCGGAGGCGUGGGGAGCAAACAGG
rnacentral:rRNA from 1 species